UACGGAGGGGGCAAGCGUUGUUCGGAAUUACUGGGCGUAAAGGGCGCGUAGGCGGGACGUCAAGUCAGGGGUGAAAGGCCUGGGCUCAACCUGGGAACUGCCUUUGAAACUGACGUUCUUGAGGCCGGGAGAGGAUGGCGGAAUUCCCAGUGUAGAGGUGAAAUUCGUAGAUAUUGGGAAGAACACCGGUGGCGAAGGCGGCCAUCUGGUCCGGACCUGACGCUGAGGCGCGAAAGCGUGGGGAGCAAACAGG
rnacentral:misc_RNA from 1 species